GCCUACGGGACGCAGCAGUAGGGAAUCUUCCACAAUGGGCGAAAGCCUGAUGGAGCAACACCGCGUGGGUGAAGAAGGUCUUCGGAUCGUAAAACCCUGUUGUUAGAGAAGAAAGUGCGUGAGAGUAACUGUUCACGUUUCGACGGUAUCUAACCAGAAAGCCACGGCUAACUACGUGCCAGCAGCCGCGGUAAUACGUAGGUGGCAAGCAUCAUCCGGAUUUAUUGGGCGUAAAGGGAACGCAGGCGGUCUUUUAAGUCUGAUGUGAAAGCCUUCGGCUUAACCGGAGUAGUGCAUUGGAAACU
rnacentral:rRNA from 1 species